rnacentral:lncRNA from 10 species
CUCGGUGCCUGUUCCCUCUUGGAAUUAACCCAAGGAAAAGAGUCCUCUCAGCAAAACAAAGUUAGCUUGCUUCCUUGUGUGUGGCCUGCUUAUUUUAUUUUUUAGAGCUAUACUUCAGAAGUGCAGAGCAGCCUGAGGGCCCUUUUUCUCCAUUUUAUUUUGUGUGUCUUCUUAAAAAUUGUAUCUUGGCUAGAACUACUCUUUCUUCCUUGGUGGUUUUAUAACUCACAAGGUGAAUGGUGAUACCCUGAAAGAUCAACAGGAAUACCCUCAGGGUGGGAAUAUAAAUCUAGUCCCUCUUACUCUAUCCUGCCCAGAAGUGGAAAUAUGAUCCUUCCAUUAUAAAAUAAAGAAUGGUCCUAAGAUUUGAGAACUCCAAAAGGACUUAGUGUUACGGAAUAAAGGUGAACAACCAUUUGGGACUGUUUAUCUACUUGCUAUCUCUCUUUUGAGAGAGAAUAAUGUCUCAAGAGCUCCAUUCUCUGAUGCCUGCAGUAUGUUAUGAAUCAGUAGAGAAUCUUUCUGUCUGUGCUUGGAUCUUGGGCUGGAAGUGUCAGGAAUUAUUGCUUCCCGGGAGCGUGCCUUAACCAAUGAUGCUUAGGAGUUGGUAUACAAAUGUUUCAACUCCUUCACCGCUCAAGUGGAAUGAUUCUGAGGUAUGCAUUUUACACUAGUUCCUGGAAUUUACUCUUGGUCUUAAGUGGCAGUCACUGACUGUGAUAGCUGAUUUAGUAAUACCCCUUUCUUGGUUUGCCUCCCUCACUUAUUAUUUCCCUGCUGGUGUUCCCUGCACCUCCUUAAUAAGCUACUUAUACUUGAAUCCCUAUCUCUGAGUCUGCUUUUCCAGAACCCAAACCAAGGCCAAAAGACCAGUCAUACCCCAGUUAAAUCCUGAAAGGCUUUAAGAUCAAUAUUGAGUAUGCAUGUAUAGUGGGAUAUUUCCUUCAAACAAAGAUGCCCUAGGGAUGGGGGCAUAACACCCUUCCAUAACAUUCAUGUCUGCCUUUGCCCGUUUUGUUCAGACCCACUUCAGUGUGGACAGAAAUGGAAAUGUUCUAAGCUCUGUAGCAUCCUUUUGAUUGAUCUCCAUAGCUCCAGCUUCUCCCUCCAACCAGCCCUGCAUGGUGCUGCCAGUCCAGUUUUCCUAGGGCCUCAUUUUCAUGUAUUGCUCCCUGUUCAGAAACCUGCAAUGACCUAAUCAGACAGUGGUAAGUCAAAAUGUCUCUACUUCAUCUUAAGCCUCCCUCAUAACCUGGGGAGAGAAGUUGUGUUGUUUACUGCUCUGGCACCCUUCCUUAUAGGCUUUGGGUUGGCAGUGACUGCAUUCCUCCACUAAAGGCCACAGCUUUUUUGUUGGGUGUCCUCCUGCAGCUACACCUGUAGCUAUAUCUCUUUCCAGGUUUUACUAACCACUCUAUCCUAUUGACCCUCCAGGCUACUUGCUAGGCUGGGGUAUGUCACCAUCACUCAUGGGUUCCCUUCGUUAAUCUCUCUUCAGUUAUCCUUUUGACUGUGAAAUUUGUUUCUUGCUAGGGCCCUGGGUGAUACAAGCUCUGAGCUAGAAAUCAGGAGUUCUGGCCUCCAGACUUGGCUCUGCCACUCUCUACCUUAUGUAACUUUGGAUAUCAGUUAUUUCUGAAUGUUUUUGAGCCUUACAUUAAGUAUUUGUCAAUGGGAAUAAUAAGACCUAUACAACACACCUCACAAGGUUGUUAUGCAAAUAAAAUUUGAUUUUGUGCUGGAAAGGGUAUUGCUUGUUUUAUAAAUGUGAAGAAUGACA